rnacentral:lncRNA from 1 species
UAAAACAAAAAAUAUUAGAUAUCAUAUAGAUAAAAGAAAACAUGAUGGAAAAACUCAACAUAUAGCUAAUUCUAUACAAUAAAAAAAUUGAUUCGUUAUUUCUGUAAUCUGAUCAUGUGCAAAAAAUCAUUAGGUUUGGACUUGCAUUAAAAUUGUUCAUUGCCAUAAUCUUAGAUUACAAUGUCAUUAAAAUACAAUUAUUGAACUUAGAUAAUGAAAUAAAUAUUACACCAUAAGGCCGUAGCUAACACAAACACAAACACUAAGUGACAGAAAAACUGUUGUUGUGAAAUUAGCUACUCUCUUGAAUAUGGUAAUAAAUGCAGAAUUAAGAAGGUAUAAAAUUCUUGUCCUUUACACAAUUACACCAACCACCGACACACUUCGCUAUCUUAGGUUCUCGACACCUAUUUUUAUGACAUUCAUAAUCUCUAAAACAUCGUCUACUAGGAUACCACGCUGUAAGGAGAAAAGAUGAUAAAUUAGUAUAAAUUAUAUUAAAUAAUGUAUACAAAAUAAAAUAAAUAAUAAGAAAACUUGAAAUGGAUAAAAAUGGCUAACAUUCAACGUUUGUUGCAGCAAGAAAUAGAGAAAGAAAGUUAAUUAUGACAUAAACAAACUUAACAAUUUUAGCCAUAUUUGUCUCCUUUUCAUGUAAUAAAUGAUUUUAUCACUUUAUAAAUUAUAAAUUCAUAUGAAAGUGUAAAAAACACAUCUUAAAAUUAUAAUUAUAUUUAAAUGUUUUAUUAAUGUUUUGAGGUUGUCUCUUUAACACACUUAAUAAAAAGGUCAAAUUAAAAACUUAUCGGUCAUAAAAACUUGUCAGUUUUUUAACUAUUUAAAUAAAAAAUAGGCACCUUUCCAAAUUGUAGUUCUCUCUUUAGUCUUUAAUUUGAUUGUAAAGUAAAUAUAUGCUCCUUAUUUUAUUUAUUUUAGUUUGGUUGUCGUUUAACUCAAAUAAAGAAAGAGUUCUUUUACUUCCAUCUCAAUUAAUUAAUGUAAAUUGUAUCGAAAAUCGAAUUGAUAAAAUAGUUAAUUUAAAAUUUAAUUGGUUCAGCCAAUCGAUUGAACCGUUUAUCAAAUAUAUAAAUAAUAUGAAAUUAAAUUUUAUAGAUAUGUCACAAACAAUCAUAUAUUUAUAAUUUAAUAAAAUAAAAAUUUUAAAAUCCAUUACAAACUUAAUACAAUAAUAUCAAUCAAUAGUACAUAUAAUAACACGACAUAGUUGUACACUUAAUUUUAACCUUCAUUUAAAAGUAAUUUGAACAAAUUAAAGAAUUAUAAUAAAAUAAAUUAAACUAAUUCAAACCAAAAUUAAAAUAAUAGAACACAAUAACUAAAAUAAAAUUCAAAUAAUUAGAAUACAUAAAUUAAAUACGAUAGAAUUAAAAAAAAAUAAUACAAUAUAUUUAACUAAACACAUUAAAUAAAUUUGAGUUGAAUGAUGACAAACAAAUCAUAAUUGACACCGAUAAAUAUAUUCACUUAAACAAUCAAUAUUGAGGUGUACAUCGUGACUAUGUUUGAAAAAGACGGUAUGAUGAUGAUGGAGUGUGCACUACGCCAAUAAAAUUAUUUAAUAGCGCUUUUUUUAUGCACUAAUAGGGCUUUUAAGCACUAUUAAAACCGCGACUAUUAUAAGUUCUCCACUUAUAAUGGUGCUUUAUAAUCGCUAUUAGAGUCUCUUUUUUAUUAGCUUUGUUUUAAAAGAGCUAACAUAGUCGGUCGGUUAUUAUAUCUAAUUUAAUUCCGCAUUAAUAGCCUUUUUUCAUCAAUUGCUAUAUGCUAUAUUAUAUUAGUGCUUUUUGAUAUUGUGUACUUAGAUGCUAUAUUAUAAUAGUGCUUUUUAAUAUUUAGUACGAUUAGACUGCUAUUUAUAAUACUUUUCUAAAAAGUGUUAUUAUACCUACACUUUUUUUUUUAAAUUUCCGUGACAUUUUUGUAUACCUAUCAUGUUUUUUAUACCUAUGAGAUCUUUUUGAGUGAUUCAAUAUACUAAAAAAUAAAAGUAAUGUUUUUCUAAAAACGCAAAUAUCAAUAAUAUAUCAUAAAAGAAAUGAACUUAAUUUGUAUCAAUAAAAAAUAUUCUUUAGUCACAAAUUAAUUCUCUCUAUAUAUAUAAUAAGUAGACAUUGCAACUAAAUUAAAACAAGUAUAUAGUAGCAUAAAUGCAAGACUCUCACGUAACAAAAGCAGACGUAGAACCACCAAAAAUACCAAGUCAGAGAAACUCAUAAGUUAUCCAACGUCGAGAUUAUGAAAUGUUUUCACACUUAUUUCCAUGUGUCGCAAAAGAAAAAAUCAAUUAUAUAUUGUAUCUCAAACCUACUAGUAUCCAAGAUGUUGUAGGUAUGAAUACUAUUAAAAACUCCUAAAUAUAAAAAUUAAAUUUGUUAAAUAAUUGAGCGAGACUCAUCAACAUAUGUAUAGUUUAAGUGACUAGCUAAAAUGUCGCAGAUGCAACAUGCAACACAUACCAUAGAAAGUAAGAAAUAUGUUGAAAAGGAGAAAGUAAUCGAAUUUUCCAAUACACAACAACAAUCAAAAGUAGAUCUAGUAUGUGCGCAAGGUAACAACGUCACCUUGAACAAGGCAUCUAAACAAAAGGAAUACCAAACAAAAAUCAAAUUAUGCCACAAGAGCUCAUUCUAGCCUAGAAACAAUAAAGUCUAAAUCCACAACCGAACACAGACUGGAUCACAUCCUAUAAUAGCGUUUUUUGAGAAAGUGCUAUUAUAUGUUCAAAUAAUUUUUAUCCUAUUACAGCUUAUAAUAGCUCCCAUAACAAAAGGGCUAUUAUAGAUAUUUGGGUGAUAUAUUAAAUAGCUUUUUACGCAUAAACUUUAUUAAAUGUGCGAUAUUGUAGGUCAAAUAUGUAGUGGUGUUGAAAAGAACUAAAAAGUUUGUAUAGUGGUAGAAAAAUUAAGAUUUUUUUUAUUAAGGAAUGUUUUAAGUUUUAAUAUAGACAUAUUAAACUUUUUUUUUAAAUUAAAAAAAUAAUUAAUUUGAUACGUUUUUUGAACCGGACGAUUUUACAAAAUCAAGUUCAGUUCUUUGGUUCGAAAAGUUUUUGAUAGUUCACUCUGAUUUUUCCGAUUUUACUCUAAUUUUGACCCACUAACAAUUAUGAAAACUUAAUCGAAACAAAUUCAUCCCUGAUUCCCGAUCUAACCGGUUGAACCGGUCAAUUCAAUCUUCUUUUUAAAACAUUCCUAAUAAUCAUUUUUAUGUCUCAUACAAGAUCGAUUUGAACUAUUUUGGCAAUGUUGACACUAACAUGGUGUCUAUUUAUUACUUGUUUAAGAAACCUACAUUUUUAUUUCUCAAAUUUAACAACUUGAAAAUUUGGACCAACUAUUAGAAAGUUCACAUUUUCAUACAGAAAAUUUAAACAGAAUAAAUUUCGAUUCAAAUGAUGUCAAAUUUUCAGAAGAAUUUAAGUGCACAAAAUUAAAAUAAAAUACAAUUGUUGUUUAUUUAAUUGUUUCUUUGUUAGAACUUUUGUUUCAAAUAAAUCUAAAAUAUUGAGACCAAUUUGAGGCAUAUUUCAAUUUCAUAGAGAAUUUGAUAUCGAUUUCAAACAACACAAUUGUUAUUUAUUUUCUUAGUUUUAUUUCAUUUUUUUUAAAUCCGUAAAAUAUUGAGACGGAUUUGUAAUAAAUAUCAAUAAAAAUGAUGAUAGGAUUUGAAUCACUAUAUUUUUGUAACUACAAUACUGACUUGCUAACUAAAAUAAUGUAAGGAUUCUAUACAAAUUAAUUAUGAUAUGAUUUUUAAUUAAUAAUUUGGUUUGAAUUAUCACUAAAAAUUAUGAUUUUGAUAGUAAGGGGAAAUUAGUUUUUGAAAAGGGAGUUAAAACUUGCAUUCACUUAAACUAGAGCCAAAAUUAAAGAGAGGUUAUGGUUUAAAACAUAAAUUGAACUUUUUAAGAUAUUCUCAACAAAAGUUACAACAAGAUAAAUUUAAAAAAACUUUGUACCCAACAAAGUUUUACGGUACCAACAUAAAUUUCAAUUGACAUUCUUUCAAAAUUGUUUUAAUUAAAAAUAAGACCAAAGAUUUUUUAAAAUGAAAUUAGUGCAACUCAAUGCUCAUAUUGUUCUUUCAUAAGUCAUAUUUUCCUUACUCUUAGGUCUUAACUUAAUUAUUACAACUUUCACUUGCUAGAGAAUAAGAUCAACUUAGAUUAGUCUUCAUGUAUUUAUCUAAUCACAAAAUAAGAGACCGGUGUUCCCAGUUAACGUAAUGUAUCUCACCAAAGGUUCACUUGCAAUGUAUCCCUACUAGACCAUAGCAUCUUAUACCAGGGCCAUUCCUUUUCAUAGGACAAAAUAAAAUGUUCAUUUACCUUUUGUUUUUCAAACUAUUUUACAAGCAAUUCUAGAGGUUAGUCUUAAAAGUUCAUUUCACUAAAACCAUGGAUCUUUGUAAGUGUAUUAAAAUAUUGUCUUACGGAUAUUCAAACGGUAGAUACAGUUAAUACUUAUCAUGGAGCUAAGUUAUGUUAAAGAUGCUUUUGACCGUGUUACUAAGAAACAAAAACUAUUGUUCCAGUUCAACUUCAAUAAACUCGUCAAUGACCGUAACCUAAGUUUCACUACAUACCACUCCAUUACUACCAACCACAAGUCUCUUUCUCAAGCCUUGGCAAUGAAAAAAUAUACUAUAGUUUUGAAUAAUUAACAUCUUGUUUCUAUGAGACAUCUAAUCGAACAACUUACAACUUACAUUCAUAUCAAUUAUAAGAACAAAACUACUAACUCUUAGUAUGAUUAAGCUUUGAAGAAAUCUCUAUGUUUUUCUUCGAAAGAGUGAUUUCAAAGCUUUGAAGAGAGAUAAAGAUAUGGGAAGUGAAGAAUGACGUUGAAUCAAAACUGUAGAUUUCGGAACGUCGAAUCCCUCACACGAGUAACCUCAUCGCACAGAGGUUUUUUCAGAAAAUGAUUUGUGAUGCAAAUGGAGAUAUAAGGGAGCUACUUCGUGAUCAUUGUUGUCGUGAUUGUUUAAAUAAGGAUUAAGAGUUAUUGAUGUUUUAGAGUUUGAAUGACAUUAGACAACAAAUCCAUGAAUUUCUAGGGUUCCAAGUGAUGAAACACAACCAAUUAGGGUUUUGUAGGGAGUGGGUUUUGAGGAAGAAAUUCGUGAAAAGAAAGGAGCGCGAGAUAUUUUGAGGGAACGAAGAGUUGAUUUAUUCAAAAAAAAAACAUGUAAUAGUAUUUUUAUCAUAAUAUAUAAAUAUGUUUCAACAAUAUUUUCAAACUUAUAAAAUAGCCCAGCAAAAAGAAGUUUUUGGGUAACCUUAAGGUCUUGUGUUAAAAUAAAAUGUGACUGGCAAGAAAAUAUUACUUUUUUUUCUUCUGUUUUUUUAUAUCUAAGAUAGCGCUUUGGAUAAAGCGCUAAUAAAGGCCACUGAUAAUUUAUUUUGUAUCUCUAUAUAUGAUAGCAUUUUUCAAAGAGCGCUAUCAUAGUCUCAGAAUUAUUUUUUUAUUUUUUUCUUUUCCUCCUAUAAUAGCACUUUUUGAGAAAGAGCUAUUAUAUGUCCAAAUAAUUUUUAUCCUAUUACAGCUACAAUAGCUCCCGUAACAAACAAACGCUAUUAAAUGUGCGAUAUUGUAGGUCACAUAUUUAGUAAUGGUGGUUGAAUGAGAAACUAUAAAAGAAUGAUAAAAUUUAAAUGUUUGUAUGGUGGUAGAAAAAUGAAGGACUUUUUUAUUAAGAAGUGUUUUAAGUUUUGAUAUUGUGAUUUUGAAGGUUUUUUCAACACCCAAAUUGAAAAUAUUUUUCUUAAUUACAUAUGUUUUUUGAUUUUUAUCUGUGAGUUAGAAUUGUUGAAAAUCAGUGUUGUGCUAGCUGUUAUUGUUUAUGUUUAAGUCUUAUGAUGCAUAUUUUUUGGCUUGGUUUUGUGCCUUCAAACUUCUAAUAUGGCAUUGGGUUAAAUUAUCCGUUGUAAAAUGAUGUAAAAAUUUAGAAUUGAAUCUAAAUCAAUAACAAACUAAAAAUGUGAGUUAUGUAUUCCAUGGUUGACGAGUUCUUCAAUCGGCUUUGAUUCUCUGGUUUCCGCGUGUUAUGGAGCAAUUGGGUGCUACAAUUUUGUGAGUUUUUUUAUGAUGAUUAUAUUAUUAUGGAUUAUGGAUUUGGGAUGAUGGAUUAUGGAUUUGGGAUAAUGAUAAACAAAUUUUUUGACAUAAGAAAAAUAUAAUUAAUUAUACACAUAAUACCAAAUUUUAUUGUUUACAAAACCAAAUAUACACGUAUUUAAAAUGGUACACAAAGAAAACAUAUAAAUAUUUGAAAAUAAAACCAUAUAAUGCUUACAAAAUUCAUAAUGAUAUUUGGGAUACAUAACAUCUAUAGCAAGAAAACUUGUACAUAUUUGAACCUACAAUGACAAAAUCUCGAUACAAUGCUUACAACAACCAAGAAAAAUUAGUGUUGAUGAGAUUCAUAAGAAAGAUAGGAAGGCACCGACGCAACGUGAUUGGAGAUCAACUAUAUCUUCUUAUGAGAAUGAUGUUUAGUCACUAAACACCUAUAAUUUAACAAAAUUUAAAUUUUUAUAACCUAACAACAACAACAUUAACUUAAUAAAUAUAAAUAAAUGACAUGUAUAUGGAUAAAUUUAAUACCUUAAGUCAUGAAUUGAUAAUUCCUUUGGAGAUAAUAUUUAAUUUAUGUCUCAUAACAUAGUAUCCACACGAAAAGCUGUCGGGAUGUCUUCGCUACUACAAAUAAUUUUCAUAUAGUUACUAAUUGAUACACACAAAGCACAAGUUAUACAUUAGUGAAAAUAAAAUAAUAUCAAAAAGCACAAGUAAUACUUACAUUUGGGAAAAGGAACCCUUAAUUUCUACAUUUUAAAUUACGUUUCACAAAAUUGUAUCCCCCCGUAACUCCACAUGUCGAUAAGAAUUAAACAUGAAUAAAUAUGAUUCAAAACUAAAGGUAAAAUAUGUUUUGGUAAGUAGGUUGAAUUAUUUUGGGUAUUCUUGUGUCUUGCCUCUAAGACAUUUGACUUAGAAGCAUUAUCAAAUAGUCUAAUAGUAACUCAAAUAAUGGUCAUCGAGACUUCAGAUUCAAGCAUCAAGGUGAUGAAUCAAGACCUUGUCAAGUUAGAUUAUUUUGAUGGAGCAAACUUCACUAGUCGGUAAGAGAAAAUGAUAUUUAUCCGGAUUGUCUUGAAGAUUCACUAUGUCUUAGAUCGUGAUUUGACAUCAAUUACAAACCACUAAGAAUGAACAUGUUUUUCGAACAUCUCUAUGAUCUCUACACAUACACCCAAUUUGCAACAGAAAUCUGGAAAGCACUCGAGUUCAAAUUCAAAGUUGAGCAGGAAGGUAUUGAAAGUUUUUAAUUUUUAAAUGUUCUAAUUUUAAAACGUUGGAUUAAAAUUUCAUUCUUGCACAAGUACGCGAGCUACAAGUUAUCAUAAAUAAACUAAAAGGUGUAGCGAUAGACAUUCCUGAAGCUUUCCAAGUUGGUGCAAUAUAUGGAAAAUUGUCAUCUUCAUGGAAAAGCUACAAGAAGAAAUUGAUGCAUAGUUCCGAGGAGUUCCCACUAGAGAAAAUCUAGAAACAACUUAUAAUCGAGGAGUAAUCGAAAGAUUAAGAGAAAUCUGAAUCUCUAGAUAGUCUAAAGUCAAUUUAGUGAGUGCAAAAGGCAAGAAGAAACAUGAUAGUAUGAAGAACCAUCUUGUACCUAAGAAGAAACAUAAUAAGUUCAAGAGUUCUAACAUACCAAAACGAAGUUAUUAUGUGUGUGCCAAAAUUGGUCGCUAUAUUCGAGAUUGCAGGCACAACAAGUCCAAAAACAAGACAAAUGUUAUUCAUGCAUAUGAUGGCAUAAUUACUACAGUGAGAAAAAUUAUGCCAAUAAAAAAAAGAUACAAGGAUGGUGGUAUGACACAUGUGCUACUAUUCAUGUCUCAUAUGAUAAAGCAGCAUUUAAAACAUAUUAUGAAGUAUUGAUGGACAAAUGGUUCAAAUGGAAAAUGAAGGACUAUCAAGGGUUAAUGGAAUGAGAACCAUGCAACAUAACUUCACUUUUGGAAACAAAGUUACUAUUGGCAAUGUACUUCAUGUUUUUUACAUGAAUAAGAACAUUGUUAGUGGGGUCUUUGGGGAGAAUUGGGAAUUAAAUAUGUAUACAAAUCGAGAAAAUUAUUCUUGAUUUGUAGUUGUGUAUUUGUAGGAAAAGAAUAUUCUGCUGAGGGAAUGAUAAAACUAUGUACAACACACGAUAUAUAAAUAAAAAUUUUAUUUCUUCUUAAAUGCUUGAAUUAGUUUCUUUAUGGAGUACUAGAUUAACACAUAUUGGUAUUAGUACUCGUGUGAUGUUAAUGAUUUAGAAAAAUAUUAAAAGUGUGUUAAAUCAAAAAUCAUUAAGAAGCCUUUCAAAAGUGUAGAAAGAAAGACAAGCUUGCUUGAUCUUGUGUAUUAGAAUUAGGGUGAAUUUAAUGGCAUGUUAAUCCGUGGGGUAAAUAGGUAUUUCAUUACCUUUAUCAAUGAUUUCUCUAGGUUCACACAUGUAUAUCUUUUAAAUCAUAUAGAUGAUUCUUUUAAUGCCUUUAAAAUUUAUACAACGGUGAUAGAAAACCAAUUAAGUAGAAAUAUCAAAAUCCUUAGGAAUGAUAGGGGUAGCGAAUACUUUUCUACCGAAUUAAGUAUUCUACCGAAUUUAAUGCAUAUUGUGAAAAAUAUCGCAUUAUAUAUGAAUGUUGUGCAUAUCGUACACCACAACAAAAUGGUCUAUUUGGGAGAAAGAAUCAUACAUAUCAAUAAAUGAUUAAUUCCAUGUUAAUUCAUUAUGAAUUGCCAUUAAAUUUGUGGGGUGAAGCCUUACUAUCCACUUGUCAUAUAGUUAAUAGAACUCCUUUAAAUAAUAUCGGUAUUUACCCAUAUGAGGUAUGGAAUAGCAGUGCGUCAAAUAUCUAUUAUUUUAGAGUGCGAGGGUGUGUAGCCUUUCAUAAUAACACGGAUCAUAAAAUAAAUGGGUCAUCGAGAGAUCAAAUGUGCUUUUUUGCAGGAUAUGCAUCUAAUAGUAAAACAUAUAAACUUUUAAAUUUGGAUUUUAAUGUAAUUGUUGAAUCCCAAGACGUGGAAUUAUUUAAAAACAUUAUUACAAAUGAUAAAGAAUUUGACAUUCCCACAAACAAAGAAUAUCAUGAGGAAGAUUCUCCAUUCAUUGUUGAAAUACAACCCUGAGUUCCUACACAUAUUGUUAAAACAGAACUCGGGCCUAGGAUAAGAAAGAGAGUCCGAAAAGAAAAGGUUCUAGGAUAAAUGAAAUUUAUUUUUGAUUUAGUUGUUUUUAUCUAGUUGAAGGAAAUUAUGAGAAACAUGUUCGAAAAAUUCCUAUUAUUCACACAAUUACAUUACACCGACACACUUCGCUAUCUUAGGUUCUCGACACCUAUUUUUAUGACAUUCAUAAUCUCUAAAACAUCGUCUACUAGGAUACCACGCUGUAAGGAGAAAAGAUGAUAAAUUAGUAUAACUUAUAUUAAAUAAUGUGUACAAAAUAAAAUAAAUAAUAAAAAAAUUUGAAAUGGAUAAAAAUGGCUAACAUUCAACGUUUGUUGCAGUAAGAAAUAGAGAAAGAAAGUUAAUUAUGACAAACAAACUUAACAAUUUUAGCCAUAUUUGUCUCCUUUUCAUGUAAUAAAUGAUUUUAUCACUUUAUAAAUUAUAAAUUCAUAUGAAAGUGUAAAAAGCACAUCUUAAAAUUAUAAUUAUA